UACUGACGCUAAAGCUCGAAAGUGCGGGUAUCGAACAGGAUUAGAUACCCUGGUAGUCCGCACGGUAAACGAUGGAUGCCCGCUGUUGGCGAUACAUUGUCAGCGGCCAAGCGAAAGCGUUAAGCAUCCCACCUGGGGAGUACGCCGGCAACGGUGAAACUCAAAGGAAUUGACGGGGGCCCGCACAAGCGGAGGAACAUGUGGUUUAAUUCGAUGAUACGCGAGGAACCUUACCCGGGCUUGAACUGCCAGCGAACGAUACAGAGAUGUUGAGGCCCUUCGGGGCGCUGGUGGAGGUGCUGCAUGGUUGUCGUCAGCUCGUGCCGUGAGGUGUCGGCUUAAGUGCCAUAACGAGCGCAACCCCUUUCUUCAGUUGCCAUCAGGUUGAGCUGGGCACUCUGGAGACACUGCCGCCGUAAGGUGUGAGGAAGGUGGGGAUGACGUCAAAUCAGCACGGCCCUUACGUCCGGGGCUACACACGUGUUACAAUGGGUGAUACAGAGAGUCAGUGCAUGGCAAUAUGCAUUCAAUCAUGAAAGUCAUCCUCAGUUCGGAUUGGGGUCUGCAACCCGACCCCAUGAAGCUGGAUUCGCUAGUAAU
rnacentral:rRNA from 1 species